rnacentral:tRNA from 2 species
GACUCCGUAGCUCAGUCGGUAGAGCAACUGACUUUUAAUCAGUGGGUCGAGCGUUCGAAUCGCUUCGGGGUCACCA